ensembl:lncRNA
UUUUUUUUGUGAGAUCCUGAAAAUGUAAUUAUUAAAUGAUAAAUGUAUGAGGGUGGCAUGGCUGUGUGUUGUCACCUCACAGCUCCAGGGUCCGUGGUUGGAGCCUGAGCCUGCAUUACUGUCUGAGUGGAGUUUCUGUUGUGCAUGUUCUCCCAAUGUUUCCUGCAGGUUCUCCGGUUUCCUCUCACCUCGAAAAAGAUUCUGUGUUCCCAAGAUGGGCUACAGAUCCACCACAACCCUGACCAGGAUAAAGUGGUUACUGAAGAGGAUGAUAACGAUAUAAUCGUUUUCAAGGACAAUAUGCAUGCGAAAGGUACACACCAUGUCCCUUUGAUGGUAUAACCCCAGCGACAUUUCUGAGAGUGCAGGGGACUACAUGAGCUCUAUAGAAAACAACAGCGAGGAUUCAGCACCAGCAGCACAGCAUCAUCAUCAUCAGCAGCAUCUCGGAUCUUUAAGGUGACCGCAGCAUCCCGACCCGCAGAUCCUUACAGUGCUGCGUUUCAGUUUUAAGAGCAAUAGAGCCGACCAUGACUCUGCAUUCUCCUCCACUAAGCGCAUGCCCCCUGGUGGGUAAGUUCCCAUAUCUCCUCACUAUUUACACUCUAUUUCCAACGAUCCUGCUUUUACACCUGUUAAAUAAUCAUCAAUUCAAUGAUUGAUCGAUUUAUUACGG